AGCGACAGGCCUAACACAUGCAAGUCGAGGGGCAGCACAAGGAGCAAUCUGAGGUGGCGACCGGCGCACGGGUGAGUAACACGUAUGCAACCUGCCUGUAAGCGGGGAAUAACCCGUUGAAAGACGGACUAAUACCGCAUAAUACUAAAUUACUGCAUGGUAAUUUAUUUAAACAUUUAUGGCUUACAGAUGGGCAUGCGCAUGAUUAGCUAGUUGGAGAGGUAACGGCUCCCCAAGGCAACGAUCAUUAGGGGUUCUGAGAGGAAGGUCCCCCACACUGGUACUGAGACACGGACCAGACUCCUACGGGAGGCAGCAGUGAGGAAUAUUGGUCAAUGGACGAGAGUCUGAACCAGCCAAGUCGCGUGCAGGAAGAAUGUCCUUAAUGGAUUGUAAACUGCUUUUGCAGGGGAAUAAAGUGCAUCACGUGUGAUGUUUUGUAUGUACUCUGCGAAUAAGGAUCGGCUAACUCCGUGCCAGCCGCAGC
rnacentral:rRNA from 1 species